GGUCAAUGGCCUAACGGCUGAACCAGCAACUUGGAGGAAUGUAUAUAUAUAUAUUAGAAAUGAUAUAUUGUACCGGCUCGCUUGGAUAUAGUUCUAGAUAGAAUAUUGAUAAUGACUAUUUUCUAUCUAUAAGUCUUGACCAAAUCUUGUGCCAGCAGUCGCGGUAAUACAAGGGAGACUGUGUUAUUCAUCUUUAUUAGGUUUAAAGGGUACCUAGACGGAAUAUCAAGCCCCAAAAGGGGACUAAUAUUCUAGAGUUUUAUGUGAGAGGCUAAUAUAGUACUAUUGGAGUAGAGAUAAAAUUUUAUGAUACCUUUAGGACGGGUAACGGCGAAGGCAAUCCUCUAUGUAAAAACUGACGUUGAGGGACGAAGGCUUGGGUCGCGAAUAGGAUUAGAUACCCUAGUAGUCCAGGCAGAUAAUUAUGAAUGUCAUAGAUUGGAAAUAUUUUUGGUCUAUAAAUGAAAGUGUAAGCAUUCCACCUCAAGAGUAAUGCGGCAACGCAGGAACUGAAAUCAUUAGACCGUUUCUGAAACCAGUAGUGAUGUAUGUUGUUUAAUUCGAUGACCCUCGAAAAACCUUACCACAGUGUGAAUGUUAAUUAAAAAAUUAACACAGGCGUUGCAUGGCUGUCUUCAGAUAAUGUCGUGAGAUUUUGGUUAGAUCCAUAAAAUUAUCGUAAACCCUUGCUCUUUAUUUAUUGUAAUAAUGCAGUUAACCACUAUAUUGGAUAAUAUAAC
rnacentral:rRNA from 1 species